rnacentral:rRNA from 1 species
CCUACGGGUGGCAGCAGUGGGGAAUAUUGGACAAUGGGCGAAAGCCUGAUCCAGCCAUGCCGCGUGUGUGAAGAAGGCCUUCGGGUUGUAAAGCACUUUCAGUGGGGAAGAAAGCCUUGGGGCUAAUACCCUCGAGGAAGGACAUCACCCACAGAAGAAGCACCGGCUAACUCCGUGCCAGCAGCCGCGGUAAUACGGAGGGUGUGAGCGUUAAUCGGAAUUACUGGGCGUAAAGCGCGCGUAGGCGGUCUGAUAAGCCGGUUGUGAAAGCCCCGGGCUCAACCUGGGAACGGCAUCCGGAACUGUCAGGCUAGAGUGCAGGAGAGGAAGGUAGAAUUCCCGGUGUAGCGGUGAAAUGCGUAGAGAUCGGGAGGAAUACCAGUGGCGAAGGCGGCCUUCUGGACUGACACUGACGCUGAGGUGCGAAAGCGUGGGUAGCAAACAGGAUUAGAUACCCGAGUAGUC